UGUUUCGUUUCGUGAUUCUGUUGACGAGUAUUUUUAAAGUACAUGACUACGUCAAAAAUAUAUUGCCCACAGAUUGUUAAGAUUCCAAACUGUGGAAAAACGAGUUUUACUGAGUCUAAUCUUUUUAACUUCAUUAUUAUUCUGAGAGCUCUUUUUUGUUGUAAUAGUAUCUUAUCAAGAGUGGUACAGGGAUUUCAUUGUCUGUAUACUGCAGAUAUCUGUCAAUUGCCGCAAAGC
rnacentral:lncRNA from 1 species